rnacentral:rRNA from 1 species
AUAUUAAUAAGGGGAGGAAAAGAAACUAACAAGGAUUCCCCUAGUAACGGCGAGUGAAGCGGGAAAAGCUCAAGCUGAAAAUCGGGCGCCCGUGCGUUCGAAUUGUAGUCUAGAGAGGCGCUAUCAGCGCGUGGCCCGGACCUAAGUCCUUUGGAACAAGGCGUCAGAGAGGGUGAGAACCCCGUCUUUGGUUCGGAGACCGCCGCGUACGAUACGUCUUCUACGAGUCGGGUUGCUUGGGACUGCAGCCCUAAUUGGGUGGUAAAUUUCAUCUAAAGCUAAAUAUAGGCGAGAGACCGAUAGCGCACAAGUA